UUUAUGUUGUCCUGCAGCAGUGAACAGGAAUCAAACACUGAAGAUGACACUGUCAGCAUCCUGAAGACUGAGGAGCAAAGUGAUUCUGAUGAACCAACCGAGAGACGCUUGUACACAGGAAGGUACAAAGUCUUAUCAAAGGGGUUACAGAAGGCAGACAAGCAGCUGAAGGAACAACCCAAGAGAAAUAAGUGUCUUGCCCUGCUGCGUUCAGUGCUAGCAGUGGGUCUAGUGACGACGGUGGGUGUGCUGUCUUACUGGUGGGCCUCAGAAAACCUGGACUGGAUCUACUGAAUUCAAAACACACACACACACA